GAUGGAGCAAGGAGAGGAGCCACGGAUAAGGGUAGAUGGCGAUGCCAAAAGCAAUCAACUUACAAGGUAGAUGGCGAUGCCUGAAGCAAUCGACUUACAAGAGAAAUGGCGAUGCAUGAAGCAAUCGACUUACAAAGGGAUGGAUGAAUACGUGUUGGUUCUGUUAAGUUUUGAAAAUGAUUACUCGACGUUGGAUCGAG
rnacentral:lncRNA from 1 species